CUGAGGCGGGGCGGCGCCGGCGGGGGCCUCCUUACGCCGCCUCCGUAGCGCCCCGCCCCCGCCGGCCUGCGCAUGGCGUAAACCUCUUCGGGAAUCCUGGCGCGCCGUUCCUCUUGCGCAACCUGCGUGCGGCCCGGACGUGGUGUUGCGUCACCUGCGUAAAUCGGUAUGAGAAUAGCGCUCCCUCUGCGAAACUUGCGUGCGGCCCGGCAAUGCCGUUACGUUACCUGCGUAACUCGGCCCAAGAAUAGCGUAGGCGGCAGCGGGCGGCGCGUCGUGAGGGGACAUGGCGGGACAGAGGCUCCCUCACGGCUCCCUCACGGCACCCUCACGGCUCCCUCACGGCACCGCCGGGCCGAGCCCUCCGGGAACGGGCCGAGCCGAGGCAACCGGGCCCCCAGGCAGCCGGGAUGAGCCUGCGGUGAGAAGUGCCCCGGUGCUGCGGCCUUCAGUAGCGCUGAGCUGAUGUCUGGCAUCGUACCUGCACCGUCCUAUAGAGCAAAAGCAACAGAGCAGAUGUCCUGAGCUGGCCCGAGGAAGCCCAGGCAGACACACCAAUACAACCAUCAGCACACAGCUCAGUCCUUGAAAGGUCCUGCCGAUGUCGCUGACAUUCCAGCUGGCUGAGAUGUUUGGCUCUGCUGGGAGACCCCUCCAUCCUCUUCCUGGUCAGGAAAGGGACACAACUGGGCCCUGGAAGACUGACUGGGUGGAGGGUGAAGGUGCUGAGAGUGGAGCUGUUCUGCGUUUGAGAGUAAAUGUGGAUGAACAUCCCUUACCCCUUGCUGAUGGAGCACUGUGGUGUCCGUGCCUGCCCUUCAUACCAAAUGGCAUUUGCAGGAGAUGAAACAUCCUCCUGCUUGCAGCCCAGGGAAGAGGCUGGAGCUGGGCCGCUUUCUCCACAACUGUAGAACUACAGUGAAAUGAGGAUUCGUUGUUUAUGUUUCAUUGGCUUCUCUGAGGAAAACAGUGACCACGAGAUGAGACAGAGCCUUGGGGUGAGUGCAGGUCCCACCGCCAGUUCUGCCAGCUCCUUCAGCUGGGUCUGGUGCCCUCC